GGGGAUGAACGGCUUUGAUGGAGAAGAUUCUCAAGGUGUGCAAGGAGAGCACGCGCGUACGCUCUAAAAUCUUCGCGCAAAGAGAUACAUGCCAAAAACGUAUUCUCAACAGUAGCGAGCGCGUUUCGCGCUCCUGCUUUUGCCCGCGCCUAAUAACGCUGGGCACAUCAGUCCUUGACUCCUCUAAAGGGUUGCUGGUGUAAUAAGAGGAUAGGUAUCACAUUAUGUGCCACGAUGUGAUUUCCGAAUCUUGGCAGGUACUCGGCAGAAUAUUGUUUGUACACUUCGAUUUCUGCUUAAAACCAAAAGAGUACUAACCUUGUAGUGCAUCAAGAGUUCACUAUUUCCAGACAGGGGUUCGAUACCCCUCAUCUCCACCA
rnacentral:tmRNA from 6 species